rnacentral:rRNA from 1 species
AUUGAACGCUGGCGGCAGGCCUAACACAUGCAAGUCGAGCGGAUGAAGGGAGCUUGCUCCUGGAUUCAGCGGCCGACGGGCGAGUAAUGCCUAGGAAUCUGACUGGCAGUGGGGGAUAACGUCCGGAAACGGGCGCUAAUACCGUAUACGUCCUGAGGGAGAAAGUGGGGGAUCUUCGGACCUCACGCUAUCAGAUGAGCCUAGGUCGGAUUAGCUAGUUGGUGGGGUAAAGGCCUACCAAGGCGACGAUCCGUAACUGGUCUGAGAGGAUGAUCAGUCACACUGGAACUGAGACACGGUCCAGACUCCUACGGGAGGCAGCAGUGGGGAAUAUUGGACAAUGGGCGAAAGCCUGAUCCAGCCAUGCCGCGUGUGUGAAGAAGGUCUUCGGAUUGUAAAGCACUUUAAGUUGGGAGGAAGGGCAGUAAGUUAAUACCUUGCUGUUUUGACGUUACCAACAGAAUAAGCACCGGCUAACUUCGUG